AAAAUUUAUGGGAAAAGUUUGUAUUAUAAUGCAAAGCUAAUCAUGAGGCAGUUUAGGUCUAAAACUAGGACUGAUUAAAAUUGUGUCUUACCUGUUCUUCUCCUGCAUAUCAUGAUCAAUAUCACAAUCAGGACAACAGCCACACAUAUAGCCACUCCAGAGCCAAUCCAGACAUCUCUUGUAAUUUUAUCUGAGAGACAGGGUACAGACAGGUUUUGUGGUCAGUUUCUCCAGCUAUUCAUACGUUA